rnacentral:rRNA from 1 species
UCCGUAGGUGAACCUGCGGAAGGAUCAUUACCGAGUGAGGGCCCUCUGGGUCCAACCUCCCACCCGUGUUUAUUUUACCUUGUUGCUUCGGCGGGCCCGCCUUAACUGGCCGCCGGGGGGCUCACGCCCCCGGGCCCGCGCCCGCCGAAGACACCCUCGAACUCUGUCUGAAGAUUGAAGUCUGAGUGAAAAUAUAAAUUAUUUAAAACUUUCAACAACGGAUCUCUUGGUUCCGGCAUCGAUGAAGAACGCAGCGAAAUGCGAUACGUAAUGUGAAUUGCAAAUUCAGUGAAUCAUCGAGUCUUUGAACGCACAUUGCGCCCCCUGGUAUUCCGGGGAGCAUGCCUGUCCGAGCGUCAUUGCUGCCCUCAAGCCCGGCUUGUGUGUUGGGCCCCGUCCUCCGAUCUCCGGGGGACGGGCCCGAAAGGCAGCGGCGGCACCGCGUCCGGUCCUCGAGCGUAUGGGGCUUUGUCACCCGCUCUGUAGGCCCGGCCGGCGCUUGCCGAUCAACCCAAAUUUUUAUCCAGGUUGACCUCGGAUCAGGUAGGGAUACCCGCUGAACUUAAGCAUAUCAAUAAGCGGAGGA